GAAUGAAUGAAGUAUGAUAAUAUACAUAUAAAUUAAUUUGGGUCUCUAGGUUUGCCCUCUCUGAUGCCAUUUGCCUUUGAUUUGGAGGCAUGAUUCCACAACAAAACA